rnacentral:tRNA from 1 species
GCCUGGCUGGGUUAGUUGGCAGAGCAUGUGACUCAUAAUCUUAGGGUUGUGAGUUCAAGUCCCAUGUUGGGCA